AUUGAACGCUGGCGGCAGGCCUAACACAUGCAAGUCGAACGAGUGGCGGACGGGUGAGUAAUGUCUGGGAAACUGCCCGAUGGAGGGGGAUAACUACUGGAAACGGUAGCUAAUACCGCAUACCAUCGGAUGUGCCCAGAUGGGAUUAGCUAGUGGGUGGGGUAACCGCGGACCAAGGCGACGAUCCCUAGCUGGUCUGAGAGGAUGACAAGCAACACUGGAACGGAGACACGGUCCAGACUCCUACGGGAGGCAGCAGUGGGGAAUAUUGCACAAUGGGCGAAAGCCUGAUGCAGCCAUGCCGCGUGUAUGAAGAAGGCCUUCGGGUUGUAAAGUACUUUCAGCGAGGAGGCGUUACUCGCAGAAGAAGCACCGGCUAACUCCGUGCCAGCCGCCGCGGUAAUAC
rnacentral:rRNA from 1 species